rnacentral:rRNA from 1 species
GACGAACCGUCCAAACGUUAUUCGGAAUUACUGGGCUUGAAGGGUGCGUAGGCGGCGCGGAAAGUUGGGUGUGAAAUCCCUCGGCUCAACCGAGGAACUGCGCCCAAUACUACCGUGCUUGAGGGAGAUAGAGGUGAGCGGAACUUAGGGUGGAGCGGUGAAAUGCGUUGAUAUCCUAAGGAACACCGGUGGCGAAAGCGGCUCACUGGAUCUCUUCUGACGCUGAGGCACGAAAGCUAGGGUAGCGAACGGG